CGGUUUGUUAAGUUUUCUGUGAAAUUGGUGAGCUCAACUCAUCACCGCGCAGAAAAUACUGGCAGACUAGGAACCAGGAGAGGUCAGAGGUAUCUCUGGGGAAGCGGUAAAAUGCUAUAAUCCCAGGUAGACCACCAAUGGCGAAGGCAUCUGACCAGAAUGGAUUCGACGGUGAGGGACGAAAGCCAGGGGAGCGAUCCGGAUUAGAUACCCGAGUAGUCCUGGCUGUAAACGCUGCGAGCUAGGUGUUGCAUAAUCUACAGGAUUAUGCAGUGUCGAAGCGAAGGUGUUAAGCUCGCCGCCUGGGAA
rnacentral:rRNA from 1 species